rnacentral:rRNA from 1 species
UACAGAGGGUGCAAGCGUUAAUCGGAAUUACUGGGCGUAAAGCGUGCGUAGACGGUUAUUUAAGUCAGGUGUGAAAGCCCCGGGCUCAACCUGGGAAUUGCAUUUGAGACUGAAUAGCUAGGGUGCGGAAGAGGGAAGCGGAAUUUCCGGUGUAGCGGUGAAAUUCGUAGAUAUUCGCAAGAACACCAGUGGCGAAGGCGGCUCACUGGCCCGGUACUGACGCUGAGGUGCGAAAGCGUGGGGAGCAAACAGG